CUGGGUAACAUCAGCAACAUUCAUAUUUCUGGAACAAACCACGGAUGCAUUGGAGGAAGGAAUAACUACACUGUGACAGGACAGAUUGCAGCCAAGUCCAAUAUUGUCAACGUCAGUAAUGUUACUGUUGGUAACAACUCGGGAUCAAUUGGUUCAGGGAACCGCAUUAACAUUAGCUGAGCUUUUCGUCUCUCUUGGGAAAUUGCUCUCCGACAGAUCGUGAACCACUCAGCUUAGACUGAUGUCUUAUAAUGGAAAUCUUACAACACAAGGAUACAAAUGAGAGAUUCAUGCUUUGAAAUCAGAUUCAAG